AUUGAACGCUGGCGGAAUGCUUUACACAUGCAAGUCGAGCGGCAGCGCGGCCUUCGGGCUGGCGGCGAGCGGCGAACGGGUGAGUAAUGCAUCGGAACAUGCCCAGUCGUGGGGGAUAACACUUCGAAAGAAGUGCUAAUACCGCAUACGUCCUGCGGGGGAAAGCGGGGGAUCGCAAGACCUCGCGCGAUUGGAGUGGCCGAUGUCAGAUUAGCUAGUUGGUGGGGUAAAGGCCUACCAAGGCGACGAUCUGUAGCUGGUCUGAGAGGAUGAUCAGCCACACUGGGACUGGGACACGGCCCAGGCUCCUACGGGAGGCAGCAGUGGGGAAUUUUGGACAAUGGGGGCAACCCUGAUCCAGCCAUUCCGCGUGAGUGAAGAAGGCCUUCGGGUUGUAAAGCUCUUUCGGCAGGAACGAAACGGUGGGCUCUAACAUAGUCCGCUAAUGACGGUACCUGAAGAAGAAGCACCGGCUAACUACGUG
rnacentral:rRNA from 1 species